AAACUGGAGAUGGCGACCGGCGCACGGGUGAGUAACACGUAUCCAACCUGCCGAUAACUCGGGGAUAGCCUUUCGAAAGAAAGAUUAAUACCCGAUAGCAUAGUUUCACCGCAUGAUGAGACUAUUAAAGAAUUUCGGUUAUCGAUGGGGAUGCGUUCCAUUAGUUUGUUGGCGGGGUAACGGCCCACCAAGACUACGAUGGAUAGGGGUUCUGAGAGGAAGGUCCCCCACAUUGGAACUGAGACACGGUCCAAACUCCUACGGGAGGCAGCAGUGAGGAAUAUUGGUCAAUGGGCGAUAGCCUGAACCAGCCAAGUAGCGUGAAGGAUGAAGGCUCUAUGGGUCGUAAACUUCUUUUAUAUGGGAAUAAAGUUGAGUAUGUAUACUUUUUUGUAUGUACCAUAUGAAUAAGGAUCGGCUAACUCCGUGCCAGCAGCCGCGGUAAUACGGAGGAUCCGAGCGUUAUCCGGAUUUAUUGGGUUUAAAGGGAGCGUAGGUGGAUUGUUAAGUCAGUUGUGAAGGUUUGCGGCUCAACCGUAAAAUUGCAGUUGAAACUGGCAGUCUUGAGUACAGUAGAGGUGGGCGGAAUUCGUGGUGUAGCGGUGAAAUGCUUAGAUAUCACGAAGAACU
rnacentral:rRNA from 1 species